rnacentral:rRNA from 1 species
GACGAACGCUGGCGGCGUGCUUAACACAUGCAAGUCGAGCGGUAAGGCCCUUUCGGGGGUACACGAGCGGCGAACGGGUGAGUAACACGUGGGUGACCUGCCCUCAGCUCUGGGAUAAGCCUGGGAAACCGGGUCUAAUACUGGAUAUGACUCCAUGACGCAUGUUGUGGGGUGGAAAGCCUUGUGCGGCUGAGGAUGGGCCCGCGGCCUAUCAGCUUGUUGGUGGGGUGAGGCCUACCAAGGCGACGACGGGUAGCCGGCCCGAGAGGGCGACCGGCCACACUGGGACUGAGACACGGCCCAGACUCCUACGGGAGGCAGCAGUGGGGAAUCUUGCGCAAUGGGCGAAAGCCUGACGCAGCGACGCCGCGUGAGGGAUGAC